rnacentral:misc_RNA from 1 species
UGAUGAUACAUAUAGUAUUUGGAGAUGGAAAGGAUACCUGAAGUUAGAGAAUCAACUAGGCAGUUUCCUAUAGGGGCUAAGGUGGCUCAUACUUUCUCAACCUCCAAGAAGGAGGUCGGUAUUAGAGGCUUUCGAGAUUUUGACUUGGCUAUUCCAAUACAAACAUGGAAAGGAAAGACCUCCUAUCAGGAGGAAGAAGACCUGAUGGUCGAUGCUGGUACAAUCAAGCGUAGUGAUGAUUCACUUGAAG